rnacentral:rRNA from 1 species
UUAAUGAGAGUUUGAUCCUGGCUCAGGACGAACGCUGGCGGCGUGCCUAAUACAUGCAAGUAGAACGCUGAGGUUUGGUGUUUACACUAGACUGAUGAGUUGCGAACGGGUGAGUAACGCGUAGGUAACCUGCCUCAUAGCGGGGGAUAACUAUUGGAAACGAUAGCUAAUACCGCAUAAGAGUAAUUAACACAUGUUAGUUAUUUAAAAGGAGCAAUUGCUUCACUGUGAGAUGGACCUGCGUUGUAUUAGCUAGUUGGUGAGGUAAAGGCUCACCAAGGCGACGAUACAUAGCCGACCUGAGAGGGUGAUCGGCCACACUGGGACUGAGACACGGCCCAGACUCCUACGGGAGGCAGCAGUAGGGAAUCUUCGGCAAUGGACGGAAGUCUGACCGAGCAACGCCGCGUGAGUGAAGAAGGUUUUCGGAUCGUAAAGCUCUGUUGUUAGAGAAGAACGUUGGUAGGAGUGGAAAAUCUACCAAGUGACGGUAACUAACCAGAAAGGGACGGCUAACUACGUGCCAGCAGCCGCGGUAAUACGUAGGUCCCGAGCGUUGUCCGGAUUUAUUGGGCGUAAAGCGAGCGCAGGCGGUUCUUUAAGUCUGAAGUUAAAGGCAGUGGCUUAACCAUUGUACGCUUUGGAAACUGGAGGACUUGAGUGCAGAAGGGGAGAGUGGAAUUCCAUGUGUAGCGGUGAAAUGCGUAGAUAUAUGGAGGAACACCGGUGGCGAAAGCGGCUCUCUGGUCUGUAACUGACGCUGAG